UACGUAGGGGGGCAAGCGUUGUCCGGAAUCAUUGGGCGUAAAGCGCGUGUAGGCGGCCCGGUAAGUCCGCUGUGAAAGUCGGGGGCUCAACCCUCGAAUGCCGGUGGAUACUGUCGGGCUAGAGUGCGGGAGAGGCGAGUGGAAUUCCUGGUGUAGCGGUGAAAUGCGCAGAUAUCAGGAAGAACACCCGUGGCUAAGGCGGCUCUCUAGUACGGUACUGACGCUGAGACGCGAAAGCGUGGGGAGCGAACAGG
rnacentral:rRNA from 1 species